UUACAUUAAAAGAAAGACGCUAAGAUAUUGCCUCAUCAUAGAGAAUACACAACGAACCUCACCGUGUACACAAACAAACGAGUGAUUGGUUUAUUAAGCUGAGGGGCAGCGGAAGCGGAGCAUGACCGCGUCGGCAUAACACCGAACCAGCAAACGAUGACCUCAAACUCAAAACCCUCCUCCGUUCCGUAUACUUCUCUACCUUCCCACCCCGACCCGGUUCCCCAAAACGUCAUCGUUCUGUCUUACUACCACCCACCUCCCAACCCAUCACU
rnacentral:misc_RNA from 1 species